CGCCAGCCCUCGCUGCGCGGCGUGCGCCCCCUGCGCCCCCAGUACUGAUCCAGCUUCGCGGGGGAGACGCGCACCCGCCUCCUGCCUUUAGCCGGGCCAGGAGCUCUGGGGCCCUUCUGGAGCACCCGGGAGCCACCUGUGCACUUCUCAGUCGCCACGGCCCCGGUGCAGGCCUGGCAGGAGAAGGAUCCCCGCGGAAAUGCCUCUACUAACUCAGCCCCUUUCUGCACUCUCUGCUCUUCUCUGGGCGCGCUCUCGCCUUACUUAUUCCUGUGUGGUUCAGGCGCUGCGGAAGGAGAAGGCACCUAGACUGUACUGGGAAGGCUCCUGGAGUUGACCUGGAGCGCCAGGAAAGGUCAGUGGAGGAAAGUGCUCCAAGCAGAGGGAAGAGCUUGUGCCAAGGCCCUGAGACCCCGGCGGGGGAGCCUAAUAAUGGCAGAUCCAUUAUUUAUUCUUCUCCAUCUUGUUCUGUGUUCCUGGAAGCCAACCUUUAUAAGCUGCAGGAAAUGGAUUUCCUACUCUCCACCUUCUGAUUGGGCUUGACCAACGGGGAGCACUGGCAGAAGACAAGCAUGGGAGGAAAAAGAGAUCAGGGUAUUCAUUUCCCCAGAUCCCUCCCUGUCCUCUACUUAAAGGUCAUAAGUCCAUCCAGGUGUCAUCUCUUAUGUAGGAUUCUAGCGACAUCUUCUCCCCUUGUUCCUUUAGGCUUAGGAGUAAUAACACUUUUCUGUUCUUGCUAGUCCUGAGGAUAAGUGUUUUGUCACCUCUUGUUGAUUUCCCUGACUUCAAAUACCAAACACUAUUUUUUUGCUAUUUUUGAACUUUAUGUAAGUAGAAUCAUACAGUAUAUAUUUUGGGGGGUAAGGUUUUUUUUGUUUUGUUUUACUCAAUAAUAGGUUUGUGAGCAUCAUCCAUGCUAUUGCAUAAAACAGUAGUUUGUUUUCAUUGCUGCAUAGUAUUUUUCACUUAUACAUUGUACUAUUAAUAAAUAUUUGAGGGUUUUUUUUCCCA
rnacentral:lncRNA from 1 species